GGACCCAUAGCUCAGUUGGUUAGAGCGUUUCGUUGACAUCGAAGAGGUCACUGGUUCGAGCCCAGUUGGGUCCACCA
rnacentral:tRNA from 1 species